UAGAUUACGGACACUCACGUAUGCAGGUGUUUGAUAAACAACCUCUGAGAAUACCCUGAUAAUACAAGAUGUAUGUCUCUACACUUCAUAUGGUUACAUGACAUCUACCAGACUAGAUUGAACUUCUGCAGUGCAUGUUUACCUCGAUGUGAAAAAACUUCUAUGUAUGGAUUUUAAAGGCAGCAACCACAAGGAUAAACUAGAGAGGCAGAGAAAAGAGGGAGCUAUUGUUCCAUUACCAGCAUGUAGAUACUACAAGUCAUAUAUGUUUCAGCUAGUUUCUGAGACAUGUAAUUCUUUUAUAGACGAUGUGUACAAUUGAAUUUGUAAACUACUA